AAGUUUAGAUUUGUUCGAAUUGACCACCUUUGGCAGGAAAUAUUCAAAGUCAUAUUUCCUGCCAAAGGUGGUCAAUUCGAACAAAUCGAAAC
rnacentral:pre_miRNA from 1 species